rnacentral:rRNA from 1 species
GACGAACGCUGGCGGCGUGCCUAAUACAUGCCAGUCGAGCGAAGUUUUUCUGGUGCUUGCACUAGAAAAACUUAGCGGCGAACGGGUGAGUAACACGUAAAGAACCUGCCUCAUAGACUGGGACAACUAUUGGAAACGAUAGCUAAUACCGGAUAACAGUAUUUCUCGCAUGAGAGAUAUUUAAAAGUUGGUUAUGCUAACACUAUGAGAUGGCUUUGCGGUGCAUUAGCUAGUUGGUGGGGUAAAGGCCCACCAAGGCGACGAUGCAUAGCCGACCUGAGAGGGUGAUCGGCCACACUGGGACUGAGACACGGCCCAGACUCCUACGGGAGGCAGCAGUAGGGAAUCUUCCGCAAUGGGCGAAAGCCUGACGGAGCAACGCCGCGUGAGUGAAGAAGGAUUUCGGUUCGUAAAGCUCUGUUGUUAGGGAAGAAUGGAUAUGUAGUAACUAUACAUGUAAGAGACGGUACCUAACCAGAAGGCCACGGCUAACUACGUG